rnacentral:rRNA from 1 species
CAGCCGCCGCGGUAAUACGUAGGUGGCAAGCGUUGUCCGGAAUUAUUGGGCGUAAAGGGCUCGCAGGCGGUUUCUUAAGUCUGACGUGAAAGCCCCCGGCUCAACCGGGGAGGGUCAUUGGAAACUGGGAAACUUGAGUGCAGAAGAGGUGAGUGGAAUUUCCGGUGUAGCGGUGAAAUGCGUAGAUAUCGGAAGGAACACCAGUGGCGAAAGCGGCUCACUGGACCAUUUCUGACGCUGAUGCACGAAAGCUAGGGGAGCAAACAGGAUUAGAUACCCCCGUAGUCCCUGUCUCUUAUAC